UCCCUGAUAGCUCAGUUGGUAAAGAAUCUGCCUGCAAUGCAGGAAACCCCAGUUUAAUUCCUGGGUCAGGAA
rfam:TPA: Bos taurus chromosome 14, whole genome shotgun sequence.